CCGCAACCUACAUAUACAGACUACAGAGUGGGGUAAAAUGGACGUCAAUCUCAAAGGUUCUACUGAGGGGCGGCCCUGGGGGUGUUCAAAUGGAGCAGCCGCACAAGGCCUCCGGUUUUCGAAGGUGGAUCGUUAUUAGGAGGUUUGUCAUUACCGAGUUUGUGGACAUGUGGCAUGCAAAAAUCAGAGUUGUAACGAACGAGUUAUGAGGGUUGAAACAUAGUGGCAAUUUUGUAAAUUUGGGAGAUUAUGUGGUAUAUUGGGGUGUUUCCCAAAGGGGAAGUAACUAUUUUUUUUCGGGGCUUCCAUUUUGGGAAGUCGAAGAGAGAGAGAGAGAACCCGAAGAGAGAGAAAGGGGCAGAUCGGUGCUGUACUUCCCGACCUCGUCGGCGGCGAUUCCGGCCACCUCCGGUUGUGGAACCGGACUUUCCCGAACCGCCUCGCCUUCCUCUUGCAAUCCAUGUAAUUUUUUCAUCUUGGGUAGCUUUGAUUUUGGAGAUUCGAAGAGAAGUUUCCAGAAAUGGGAAAUCGGAGAUUUGCUUCGAUCUCCGGUUUCCGGCGGUUUUCGGCCGGAUUUCUUUGGGGUUUUGGUUGCUAGGACGAUGCUGACCUUCAUCCCUAAUCUCUUGCAGCUUCUCACGACCGGUGGAGGAAGAAUUGAAGGUGUUUGAGAGCGUGAACAGUAACUGACGAAAUCUUGAUUUUGGGAUUGAAUUUCCGGCUAUUUCUACUUGAAAUUGGUUGUUGUUGCAGGUAUAAAGAUUGUUGGGUUUGUUGUGGAGAUGAUUUUGAGCUAGAUAGGUUGACCGGAAUUGGGGAUUGGUGUGGUAGUGCGUGAAGCCACGCGCCGCCGCUGCUGAUGGUGGUGAGGAGGCUCAGUCAGCCCCUCCAAAACCCAUUAAUUUAAUCUUUGAGCUAUGUUUUAGACUUGAGGUUGUUUGGGCAUUGAGAUUUCUUGGAAAUUUGAUGUUGGACAUAGUUUGAAUCCCUUGGUUAAAUGCUAUUGGUUAUAUUUUGGUUU